UCGGGUGUGGUGCAUGGUGCACGGCAGCUUCAUGUUAGGUAGUGGUCUGAAACAGUAGUGCUGUAGGUCGGGGUUCGACUCCCCGCACUCGAA